UAUUUCGCACUUUUUUUUUCUUCAUUUCGACACCUUAAAAACUCUCUCUCUCUCUCUCACACACACCUUACCCUACCCUACCCUACCCUACACACAAUCACGCCACACUCCUCUCUCCUUCAAUUUUCACACACGCACCACACCACCCUUUUCUUCACGUUCUCAAUCACCACCACCACCACCAACAAAAACAAAACUCCCUCAAUCCUUUCUUCCAUACACCAAAAACAAAAACCCUCUUCUUUUACCUUAAUGUCUGUUCCAUUUUCAUCACUCACCACCACCAUUCCCCUCUUACCACCUUAA